rnacentral:lncRNA from 1 species
UACAAUUAAAGCUAGUACUCUUAGCUAGUUUGUGCAAUUGGUGUUACAUCUAUAGUUCAAAAUUUGAUAAUGCUUGAUUGAUUGGAUGUUCCAAGUGUGCAUAAAAUUUGGUAUUAAUCUAAUAGUGCAAUUGAGAGAUAUCUAAUUUUUGAUGCAAGAAGAUAUUAAAAGUUGGCAGUUUGAGGUUGAGUAGGAUUUCUCUAUUACAUGAAGAUCUUUCAAUCGAAAUAAGGUAAAAUUUGGCAUGGUUUUAGAAGACUUAAAGAUCAAGCUAUAUACCAAUUUUAAGCUAAAUUUAAUAGUUAAAGAAAGAAUAAACACUAUUAGAAUAUCUAUAGCAACUUUUGAAUUGGCAACCAAGUGAUAUUAGUGUGGUUUUUUGGACAUU